rnacentral:lncRNA from 1 species
GGGUAGUUUCGUUUUAUCCAGAGGGGUUGGAUGUGAAAUGUUAGUUGUACUUACAAAUGAAAUUGUUGGCAAAUCAAAAGUUUUUUAUUUUUUUCUAAACAUUUAAUAUAAUUUUCAUAAUUCAUAAUAUAAUUAUCAUGUAGUAUUAUGGUGGUUUAAUUGUAAGGAGAACUAGAUUUUACCCCGUGAUACACCACGGGUGUAGUAUUUUAU